UACGGAGGUUGCGAGCGUUGUUCGGAUUUACUGGGCGUAAAGGGAGCGCAGGCGGCCAACUUAGUCUAAAGUGAAAGUCCGGGGCUCAACCCCGGAAGUGCUUUGGAUACUGGUUGGCUUGAGUAUGUGAGAGGAGAGCGGAAUUCCAGGUGUAGCGGUGAAAUGCGUAGAUAUCUGGAGGAACACCGGUGGCGAAAGCGGCUCUCUGGCACAAAACUGACGCUGAGGCUCGAAAGCAUGGGGAGCGAACGGG
rnacentral:rRNA from 1 species